AAUAAAAUCAUAUUAAAAUAAAUUAGAUGAGUACUAAGUUUCAAAAUCUAAAAAUUAUUUGACAGAGAUUACGAUCGUGAGGAAAGAUUAUUUUAUGUACAACAAAGGUUUAAAACAGUGAAGCAAAGCUUAUUUUUUUUUUUCAUCUCCUAAAAUCAUAGUUUCUUUGUUAGUUAAGUUAUAAUAUAUUGGGCUAAACUGGGCCACAAACAAAACAAAUUAAAAGCCCAAUUCUCUUUGUCAUCUUCUUUAACGUGAUAAUGUCAAUAAUCAAAGUAACGCAGCGACGCUUCCGAUCUUCUCCGACGACGAUUCCUACUCGGAACCUUACGCUUCCACCAAGAUUCUGAAUGACUUACUUUGGGAAUCGCGAUUCCGAGGCGCUUCCGAGCGAUUCCGGGCGAUUCCGCUUCCGUUUCCGAUUCCGGAGCGAGAAUCGGCAGAUCUUCGGCGAUUCCGUGCAACGUAG
rnacentral:lncRNA from 1 species